rnacentral:rRNA from 1 species
UACGUAGGGUGCAAGCGUUGUCCGGAAUUAUUGGGCGUAAAGAGCUCGUAGGCGGUUUGUCGCGUCUGCUGUGAAAUCCCGAGGCUCAACCUCGGGCCUGCAGUGGGUACGGGCAGACUAGAGUGCGGUAGGGGAGAUUGGAAUUCCUGGUGUAGCGGUGGAAUGCGCAGAUAUCAGGAGGAACACCGAUGGCGAAGGCAGAUCUCUAGUACGGUACUGACGCUGAGACGCGAAAGCGUGGGGAGCGAACGGG